CUUUUUCAAGCUCUCAGCUUGGUGCAUCUGCUGUUCUCACGGGUCCCAUUUUUUUUUUCUCUCGAGAAAAGGACGAAAGGGAACUCAUCAAACCUUCCUCAACUGAUGCUUUGAAAAGAUUCUCCGAUGACCUCUUGUCCCGUAAUCUAUAGCUUUGCCCUGACGCUGGAUUGUUGAAGGGCGAUAUAUUGGUCAGCAGAAUGGCUGAUGCUCAUACAACUUCUUUCCCUGAUUAUUGCUAAGCCACUUGCACUGAGAGUAGCCUGGCUGAAGACAGAACUAGAGAUCUUCAACUAGGACAUCAGGGGAACGAAUGCAUGGUCCAAAAAAGAAUCUCUAAGUAAGGCUUUUCUGGGACACAUAACACUCAGGUUCCCAUUGUGGCCCUUGGAGAUGCAAGGAGCCACAAUGAUUUGGACCAUUCUGGAUCUCCACUAUAGACAAAUGGGGACUGCGUGUUCUCGUGUCAGUGAUGUUGUGCAGUGGCUUAGGUGAACCAGUUAUUCAAGGUGCUGUGUGAGGGUGAUGUGCCUGCUCUUCAGCAUCUAGGGAGCCCAACCCUCAGCUGCUAGACAGGCUGACUGCUGGUGACUACAGCUGCCUCUCUGAGGGUUAAGUCCUCCGACCAAAUGUGUUACUUCUUCCUUCUCCUCAUACCUCAGAGCAGACUCUGGGCAGAGACUGAAGUGGAAGUUCAGAAGACUAGCUUCUUUGCCCGAUGGGAGCCAACUCAGAGAAGCAAUUCAUGUUCCAGAACAUCUCUUGGGCUCCAUAUAAAGGGAGUGUAUGGUUUGUUUUUUUUUUUUUUUGGGUCUCUCCUUGUUCAUUCAAUCCUCUUCUCAAUAUCCCACUUGAAUAAGAACUCACCCCAGUAAAUAACUUGAACGAGAAUCCCUGUUUUAGGAUCUGGUCCCAGAAAACCUAACUUGGGCUAGGAGACCUAGGGUUACUGGCCAUAGAGUAUCACUGCUCAGCUACAGAGCCUCAGGUCUCUGUUAGCAAACCCUCCUAUAGUGGGGACAUCUUCAUUGUCACCUUGACUGGAUUUAGAAGUGCCUUUGGACAGAAGCUUCUGGAUCUGUCUGUGAGGGGCUGUCUAGAUUAGACUAACUGUGGUAGGAAGAACCUCCUGGAACGCCAGCUGGAUAAUCAAUUAGGAUGGGAGCCUGGACUAAAGAAAUAGGAGAAAGGGCACUGAGUUCCAGCUCUCUUUGCAGUUUCUGUUCCUGAUGCCAUGAUGGCCUGGAUCCUCCGAGUAGGAGCCAGAAUAAACCCUCCUUUUUUUAAGUUGCUUUAGUUGGUUACUUUGCUGCAGCAGUGAGGAAAAAUAACUAACAUGCCUCAUUUACCUUAUGUCAAGGCUUCUCUUUCCAGCUUCUAAUUUCUGUAACAUGCUUCCCAGGCUGCAGACCUGACCACAUUUUCUUCCUUCUCUGGCUUAUUCCUUGCAUCUGCUGGAGGAUUUCCUCCCUGUCCCUGAUUUGCAUAUGCCAAACGGAUUCCUGCUUCCUCUCCUAUCCGUCCUCUUUCCCAUUCCCCUGAUCUUUCCACCUCUGAUACCUGGGACCUGUUGUUAGUCAUUUGUCAGUUAGUCUGGGGGUGAAAGGGCAUCUCUAGUGAGAAGAGACACAAGUAUGAACAAAGCUCUAAAUAACCUUGAACAAACAGGGAUGGUUCCACAUUCCAACUCAGCUUUUCUUAAAAGAUGGAAGCGAAACCCUAACCUUGACCCUAAUCUCAACUCCCAGUCUCAGUUUAUUCUAGUAUUUCACGGAUGGUUGAACGCAGGGCCCUUUCUGAUCAUCAUUCAACAACAGCAGCAGCUGCAGCAGUGACAAUAGACUUGGUAUUCUUACAUGUAACUGUCAUUUAAUCAUAUUAAUAUUGCUCUCUUCUCGUUUUUCAGUUUUAAAUGAUACUUGUACUUUCGAGGCAUCUUUUUAUUUAUGGCACACAACAACAAGCUUUCCAUUUUUUGGCAGCGGAUAAAGCUUCUUUAAAGCAUAUAUUUAAUUAAAUAGAAAGUGAUAUAUAGAACAUUUAAGUGCUGAAUAGUUCAUAUGUUUCACAGAAAUAAUAGAAACUGUGAACCGGGUGCACAGUGGCUUAGGUUUUUGUAGCCAUGACUCUUGACUACUUAUGUCUACAUUGAUUCAUGGGUAUUACUGACUCCCAAGCUGUUUGAAAAUGUUGUAAAUCGAAGCACAUUUUUCUGCUUGUUUGAAUUCUCUCUGAGUGUGUUUAUAUGGUUCUUACCAAACAUUUUUAUUUCCUGUAUUGACAAACAUAGUUUUGGCUAUCUAACAAAUACUCAAUGAAUUGUUAUCAUUAAUUGAUAUUGACACUUGAGAUACAUGUACCUUAAGCAGUUUUAGGUAGUGAUGUCUAAAGAUGAAUAAUAAGACCCCCAAGAAACAUACAAUAUAGUCUAAACAAAUAAAGUAAAAUAGAUACCAUAAUUCAGGCCAUAUGGGAACUUGGUCAAUUAUCACACAGGCAAUGGAAGAAAAGAGUCAGUACGGCUUCUAUGGAGGAGGAGGUGCUUAACUUGGCCUUUGGAUAUAGGUAGGUAGAUACCAAGGUGAAAAGAGAAAAUUGGCUGAAGGAGUGUUUCUUGCAGUGGAACCUUCCAUGAUUGUGCAGGUUCAAAGGUGAGUGCUGGGGAAGUGGGAUGGGAUAAAAGGUGGAAAGAAGGAUCCAGAAGGAGAUUAAAGGGUCUUGUAUCUUGGCUAAGGAACUUGGUCUUUACUGGGUGAUGAUGGAGUCAUGGAAAGACUUUACCGAGUUAUAUUACCCUUCCCUCAGAUUCAGGACAUGAAGACGAUCAUUCUAGAGCCACGUAGGCAAUGAGGUUACCCUGAGGGCAGAGAUCUCACCACCCUCGAAAGACUGUGAGGCUUGAACAAGAACGUGGCAGGAGUGUUUGUUUCUCUCUGCCUCCCUUUAUCAACCGUUAGGGAAAUCUUACAGAGAAAUGUGGGCAUUCACACUCUGACUGCUUUAUGAGCCGACAUCACACCAUCAUCAGUCUGACGUGAGUGUGUUUAUCUUCCUAUACUCACCUAAACCUCCAUCUAAGCUUCCUGCUGUGUCACACCUCUGGGAAACCACCUCUAAUGUCACUCUCAUUUCCCCGACUCCUCCCACAGCAGAUAAUAACAGUCUCCCAGGAACCCAGCAGAGUCUCAUUUCUCUCUCGACCUGCAGGCUGGCUAGCUGGUUGCCUAGCUUCCGAGACAGGGGCAGCCUACCCAUUGCUUCCGUGCUGUGCCCCGUUCCCUAUCAGGCCCCUACCAGGCAGAUCCUUGUCUUUGUACUUGCCUCAUGUCAAGAUCCAUCAGCAUAAAAGACUAUUAAUGAGGAUGGGAAGAGACAGAGCAAAGAGGAAAACACCACAGUCAGAUAAAAACAGAUCAAUAGUGGAGCCAAAUGGAGCAAGAGGCACAAAAGCAAUUCACAAGCUGUCAACUGCUCAAUGGACACACACUUCUGACAAUCCCAGGCAGACACAGAAGGGAGAGAGAUGGACAGAAACCCAGGGCAGCCUGUGCAGAGAAAGCACAAAGCGGAUAUUACCUAGCCAAAACUCAUCCUCCAGAUUCCCAAAGCCAACGCGAUAAUCAGCCCAUUUCCGGAAAAAAUCAGUUUGGCCGUUCUGCCGCCUCUGGAAGACCUGUGAAGAAAAAGAGAGGAGACGCUCCAUAAGACUGGGUUCUGUAUCGGCUAGCAUCAGGACCAUUUCAGAAGUGAGCUUAAUAUUUCCGUGGUAGCUUUCGCAGGGGAUGCUCAGAGCCCUUUUCUUGAAGUGCUGAUGCCUCUGACAAAUAGGCUGAGGGUGUGAUAUUGACAUUAAUUUGCACCCCUGCAAUAUAGAAAAGAUUCAGGAUACAAAUCAAGCUACAAAUAGUCAGGGGAAAUGGGCCUGAUUCUCAAAUUAAUCUUUUUGCACCACAGAGAGUAGCAGGAAGCAUUUCUCACCAAAGGACUGGGACCAACUUCAAAUCAUCCAGUCACUGUCAUCAUCUUAUUGCAGGCAAAGCAAUUGCAUAUCGUUCACUUUCCAAGCUGUUUAAGUGCUAAUUUCAUUUAACCUCCAAUACAUCAGCCUUGGCUUCAAUUUCCAAUUAUGCUUCAAGAAGGAGGCACAAAUAUGUCAGAAACAUAAAAGAAAAUGUCUCCCCAGAGAAUCAUGCGUGUAGUCAAAAUUUAACUCUUCCAAGCCGUCCCGUUGUGGAACAUUAAAGCUCCAGGACUGUGUCUGAGCAGCGAUAAGGGUGUGUACAGGAGGAUGGGUGGGGCUGCUUCCAUUCACACUGAAAUCAACCCCUGCUGCUCUGUUUAGAGCAGCUUCAGGAACUUGCUCAAGUGUGCAAUGACUAGCAUCUCCAGCUGCCCUAUAUCUUCUGCUCUGUACUGGCCAAUCAGAUAUGAGAGGAGGUGGUGUCAGCAAGUAGUGUCCCUCCCAACCACUGUUGCUCUGGGGAGGAAUUUGGGAUCCAGAAAAGGAUGAAGACAAAAGCAGCUCUUGUAACUAGAGGGUCAUCCACAUUUUGUCCAGAUCUGAUCUACCAUAUGCUACCCUCCAACAUUAGGAAACUAACUACUUCACCAUGGGAGUCUCAAGUGCUUCUGUGAGGUGGCUGCCUCCUCUUUGUUUUAGCUCCAACCCUUGGCAAGCAGGAUUGUUAUGUCUCACUCCUUUCCUUUCCCCAGCAGCCCCUGCAUUCAGUUGAUUUGCAGAAGGAGUCCAAAGCAAGGAAGGCAGUCAUCUUGCAUCCCUUGUUUGGGAUAGGCCACUGCACCCUUUGUAUGUGUCCUGCUUAGUUCUUAUUGUCAACUUGACCCAACACAGAGUCAUCUUGGAAGAAGAAACCUCAAGUGAAGAAUUGCUCUCAGGAGAUUGGCAAGUGGCCAUGUCUAUGAAGAAUUAUCUUGACUGAAGUGGGAAGGGCCACCUCACUGAGUAUAGCACCACCUGAGGGAGGUGGGCCUGGGCUGUAUAAAAAAUAGCUGAGCAUAAGCCAAUAAGUAACUUUCCUCCAUGCUUUCUGCUUUAGUUUCUGUUUGUGUUCCAGUUCUGACAUCCCUCGAUGAUGGAUUAGAGAUUGAAAGUCAGGGAAACAAGAUGAUGCCACUGAUUGUUCAGAGACGGGCCAGUAGACCACUGUCUGGACCACCUUUCGAAUGGAAUGGAUGAAUGGCAUCUGAACAAAGUCUUUGUCAUCCACAUGGUAGCCAUUAAGGAGGGCCCAAAUAAGCUCAGCAUUAGCAUAGAGAUGAAUGUCUAUUCCCUGUGCAAAGCAAUCUCUUGAUUGUACUAAACAAUCAAACAGCCAUGUUUUACAGUUCAGUUUAAAUUUAAGGAGAGGGCAGGGGAAGUAAAUUGCAGCUCAUCUUUCAGAAGGAACAGCCCAAUCUGUAAAACAAUACCUAAUUAGCUGUAAGAGAAGCUUAAAUCCUCAAGCACUUUUCUCUGAGAUAAGUUUUGUGCUUACCAGGCAAGCAGAGAGCAGCCUAUACUGGAGGACCCUGCCUAGAGGACAAGCUAAAGGCACAGCUUGCCACGGGAGGCGUGGUGGUUGGGGAGCUCUGUAACUGCGGUCUUCUGGGCCAAUGAAGAACAUGGCCACAUGAUACAGCUAUGUUUCUCUAUGGAACCGAGAUAGACAGGAGGAGCGAUUGAAGCCAGACAGCCGGUGUCAGCAAACAGCGCCUCCUGGUGGUGUUACACACUACAGCUGUGACACCCUGCCGCUUGGAAAGUCAGAACAGUGGAUGUCUUGGGCAGAGCAUGUCACACAAGGAAGAUGGCACACUAAAAUUCCUGAGAGUCCCCAUCACAGGUUGUCUAUAAAGCAUUUUGUGUUAGGAAGAGGCUACUGGUCUUCAUCAAGUCCCCACCCCCAACCCACCCGACCCAGAGAUAUAUUAACUCCGAGGACCAUACUCCGGAUUGCUACCACAGGUUUGCCAAAGGUUGGUGGAACAGGACACUUUCAAGAAUAGUCACAUCAAGGAUUGGUGAUAUGGUUCUGUAAAACUUAUGCUUUACAAAGAGAAUUUGUUUUUUUGUUUAAUUCUUGUGAAAAACUUUAGAGAAAGGUUGAUAGAGAUCCAACACUUACUUUAACAGAGAAGAAAAACCGCUCAGAAAGAUUACAAGAUUGACUUAUUCAGGAAGGUCGAAUUCAAAAUUUCAGAACCCAAGUAAAGUGUACUGUAAAAUCUAUUAAAACAAGGAAUACAUCCAUGGAUGGAGAAGACGACUCAGUGUUUAAGAUCCUUUGCUGCUCUUUCGGAGGAAUCAAGUUUCGUUCCCAGCACCCACCUCGGGCGACUCACAACUGUUGUAAUUCCAGACCCAGGGAAUCUGAUCGCGUCUUUAGUCCUUGUGAGCACCUGCAUACAUGUGUAUACACACACACACAAAUACACAUACACAUAUAUGCAUAUACAAAUAAAAUAUGAAGUCUUUAAAAAGCAAACCUUUUUAAAAAAAGAAUUAUAACCCAUACUCCAGUUUGGCAAGGAUCAUUCAUCUAUGUAAUGAGUAAGUGAUUUUUGUAUUUGACAUAUAGGUACAAAAUAUUGCAGGCGUUAUGUUCCAAUUAAAUGCUUCCCUUAAA